GGCUGGCCCAAAAGUAGUGAGUUAUCUCAAUUGAUUGUUCAUAGUCAGUCACAGAUUGAACUACUUGUUCUAUUCCUUCCCUCUUUCUCACUACUGAACUUAACUGGUUUAAA
ensembl:Y_RNA Y_RNA Y RNA